UACGUAGGGGGCUAGCGUUAUCCGGAAUUACUGGGCGUAAAGGGUGCGUAGGUGGUUUCUUAAGUCAGAGGUGAAAGGCUACGGCUCAACCGUAGUAAGCCUUUGAAACUGGGAAACUUGAGUGCAGGAGAGGAGAGUGGAAUUCCUAGUGUAGCGGUGAAAUGCGUAGAUAUUAGGAGGAACACCAGUUGCGAAGGCGGCUCUCCGGACUGUAACUGACACUGAGGCACGAAAGCGUGGGGAGCAAACAGGAUUAGAUACCCUGGUAGUCCCUGAGCGGG
rnacentral:rRNA from 1 species